rnacentral:rRNA from 1 species
UACGGGGGGGGCAAGCGUUGUUCGGAAUUACUGGGCGUAAAGGGCGCGUAGGCGGUCAGACCAAGUCGAGUGGGAAAUUCCAGGGCUUAACUCUGGCGCGCUCGCUCGAUACUGGUCGGCUAGAGUGUGGAAGAGGAUGCUGGAAUUCCCGGUGUAGCGGUGAAAUGCGUAGAUAUCGGGAGGAACGCCAGUGGCGAAGGCGGGCAUCUGGGCCAACACUGACGCUGAGGCGCGAAAGCUAGGGGAGCAAACAGG